rfam:Salmo salar isolate Sally breed double haploid chromosome ssa19, whole genome shotgun sequence.
UGCAUUCACUACUGUAAGUCGCUCUGGAUAAGAGCGUCUGUGAAAUGACUAAAA